rnacentral:rRNA from 1 species
UAAUACAGAGGGUGCAAGCGUUAAUCGGAGUUACUGGGCGUAAAGGGCGCGUAGGUGGUUUAUUGUGAGUGAUGUGAAAGCCCCGAGCUUAACUUGGGAAGUGCAUCGCUAACUAAUGAACUAGAGUAUAUGAGAGGGUGGUGGAAUUUCCGGUGUAGCGGUGAAAUGCGUAGAGAUCGGAAGGAACGUCAAUGGCGAAGGCAGCCACCUGGCAUAAUACUGACACUGAAGCGCGAGAGCGUGGGGAGCGAACAGGAUUAGAUACCCUGGUAGUCCACGCUGUAAACGAUGAGAACUAGAUGUUGGGAGGGGAACCUUUCAGUAUCGAAGCUAACGCGAUAAGUUCUCCGCCUGGGAAGUACGGCCGCAAGGUUG